CGCUGGCGGCAUGCCUUACACAUGCAAGUCGAACGGCAGCACGGAGCUUGCUCUGGUGGCGAGUGGCGAACGGGUGAGUAAUAUAUCGGAACGUACCCAGGAGUGGGGGAUAACGUAGCGAAAGUUACGCUAAUACCGCGUACGACCUAAGGGUGAAAGUGGGGGAUCGCAAGACCUCAUGCUCAUGGAGCGGCCGAUAUCUGAUUAGCUAGUUGGUGGGGUAAAGGCCUACCAAGGCAACGAUCAGUAGCUGGUCUGAGAGGACGACCAGCCACACUGGAACUGAGACACGGUCCAGACUCCUACGGGAGGCAGCAGUGGGGAAUUUUGGACAAUGGGGGCAACCCUGAUCCAGCAAUGCCGCGUGAGUGAAGAAGGCCUUCGGGUUGUAAAGCUCUUUUGUCAGGGAAGAAAAGGUCGCAGCUAAUAUCUGUGGCUCAUGACGGUACCUGAAGAAUAAGCACCGGCU
rnacentral:rRNA from 1 species